rnacentral:tRNA from 1 species
GAAUCACAAAACCCCAAGAAAAAGCUUCUAACUUUAUUCUAAAGCGGUGCAACUCCGUUUAUGAUUCU